AGUGAACGCUGGCGGUAGGCCUAACACAUGCAAGUCGAACGGCAGCACAGGAGAGCUUGCUCUCUGGGUGGCGAGUGGCGGACGGGUGAGGAAUACAUCGGAAUCUACUCCGUCGUGGGGGAUAACGUAGGGAAACUUACGCUAAUACCGCAUACGACCUACGGGUGAAAGCAGGGGACCUUCGGGCCUUGCGCGAUUGAAUGAGCCGAUGUCGGAUUAGCUAGUUGGCGGGGUAAAGGCCCACCAAGGCGACGAUCCGUAGCUGGUCUGAGAGGAUGAUCAGCCACACUGGAACUGAGGCACGGUCCAGACUCCUACGGGAGGCAGCAGUGGGGAAUAUUGGACAAUGGGCGCAAGCCUGAUCCAGCCAUACCGCGUGGGUGAAGAAGGCCUUCGGGUUGUAAAGCCCUUUUGUUGGGAAAGAAAUCCAGCUGGCUAAUACCCGGUUGGGAUAACGGUACCCAAAGAAUAAGCACCGGCUAACUUCGUGCCAGCCGCCGCCGUAA
rnacentral:rRNA from 1 species